rnacentral:rRNA from 1 species
UACGUAGGUGGCAAGCGUUGUCCGGAUUUACUGGGCGUAAAGAGCGCGCAGGCGGUCGUUCAAGUCGCGUGUGAAAGCCCCCGGCUCAACUGGGGAGGGUCACGCGAUACUGAUCGACUCGAAGGCAGGAGAGGGAAGUGGAAUUCCCGGUGUAGUGGUGAAAUGCGUAGAUAUCGGGAGGAACACCAGUGGCGAAGGCGGCUACCUGGACCAGCACUGACACUGAGGCACGAAAGCGUGGGGAGCAAACAGG